UGCGUUUCCACCCGCAGCAGGUAGCACCGGGCCCGCCCGGAGCAGCAGUGCCCGGCUCACGGCCCGCCCGCCCGCUCGGGCCGCGCCGCUCUCAGGCACCUGCCUUUCUCCGCGCUCCGGAACGCAGCCAAGACCGAAUAAAGGGAAUUAGAGUAAGCGGCGAUCGGGUGUCUGAGCUGCGCCGCGGAUAAAAACCACUCCUGGCAGGUGUGCACUGGUGUCUGAAGAGGUCAGAAGGGGAUAACGGCUGUCCUGGAAGUGGAGUUACAGAUGACUGACCUGACACGUGGAUGCUGGUAACCAAUCCCAGAACUCACCAGCAUCGAGAAGUUUUCUCACACGUAAAUAACUGAUGGUAAGCCUCAUAACAGAAGCUUUAUCAAGGUGUGAGCUCACAUUGUGAGGAAGUGGCAGCUGAUGAGCAAGCUCAUAAAAAACUUCAGACUCUUUGCUUCGCCGAGAUCUGGCUGCAUCUCUAGACUUUUCUUUUCGACGUUCAGAACUCAUCCUACUUAACAAAAAGACAAGAAUGUACAUGUUAGUUUGUUUUAACCUGAAUAAAAUUUUGCAUUUCCCUGUUUACCGUAUAAGAAUUAGAAGAAACCAUGUAAUUAUGUAAGACUUGUAUGGGGCAUGAACAAACUUUUGUGUAAGAUACUUAUACAAAUUUUGAACUACUGAAAAUAUGAUAAAGUUGUCCAAGCUUUAAACACUCCCAAAGCAGAUGUUUCACCCCCAAAUUUACAGUAGCUUGUGUAUCUAAUACCCCAGAGUCAUUACAAAGAAUCGUAGCACAGAAACAUCCUAAGUAAGUUUGAAGAAACUAAAGUUGUAUAUAAUAAUUUGAAUACAGGUAAUAAUCUUAUGGGCAGGCUAAGAUACUAAUAGCUCUACAUGAUCUGAUUAGUUUCUUUUGGCAGUAAUACCUUCCCCCAUGGGUUUUACAUUAGCAGCUAUAAUAAGCUACCACUUUCAGUUGCUUACUUCCUGACAUACUCCUUAUCUACUACUGGCAUAAUAGAUACCAAAUAGAUGUAGGAAUGUGGAAGAAAUAAAGCUGAGGCAUAAUACUGACGUAUGGGUGGGCUAGUAAAGAUAUUUCAAUACAGUGAUACAUUCAGAAACAGAUCUGUUUAUGUCCUGUCAAGCAAAGCUGUCUUCUUUUGCUUAACUGCCUAGCAACAUGCUCUUCUUACUUUGAACUGAACAUAAGGCUAAACCUGGCUCUGUUCUUAAGCUCUUUCUGUAAGCAUGCCACUAUCAAAUAUUACUCUGCACUAAGUGCUUAGUUCUCUCAUAACAACCCCAAAAUAGAUUAAAAUAGUACCCCCAUUUUAUGAAAAGAAGCUAGGGCUCCAUGGAUUUAAAACAGCAACUGUGUAACAAAUAGGAUAGGAAAGUCAGUGUGUAAGUCUUUACUCUUCCACAGUUUUAUCUAUUAAUGGAAAAUGCUGCCUCUGUUUUAUUCCUUAGAUCCCAUCUUAUUAGGUCAGGCAUUUGGUAAAUGUUGAAAACAGCUCAUAGAAAUUAUUAAACAUUUAGCAGGUAACAGGGACUUAUUUUACUCAGUUCUUGUACUCUGAACAAAGCACACAAUCCUCACUUCUUUAAGUUUCCUUCCUUUUAGUAUAAGGCUGAAAGCAACAAGCAUAGAAAGAACCCUUCUUAAGUAACUGUCAAGAGUUCUCAGCAACUCUGUUAUACAUAGUUUUCAAAGUUUAAUUAAGAAUGUAUACCUUUGUUAGAUUCUAAACUGUUACAAAAAUUUCAAUUCAAACAUUUAGUGGGUAUGUCCAACUUUUUGACACUGGGACACAACAUUGUUGCCAACUGUACAAAUGAGUUACAAAAAUUUUUCAAUAAAUAAUGUUUUAUGUCAGUUUACAAUCUCCUGUAUUAGCCACAUUUUGGAUAUUAGGGGGCACAUGUGGUCUGCAGGCCACACCUGAUUCUAGAGCAAUCUGACUCAAGAACCUUAAGAUUUUAAGUAAGGCUAUUAAGAAACCUGUCACAAAUAGUGGGUUAGGUAUGAUUAAAACACACUGCAUUCCUUUGGGCUUGCUCUCUCUACCCUCUUCCCAACAUUUUCUUGAACAUUUAUUUCAGAAUGUCUAUCCUGUAGAAAUGCAAACAGAAUUUAAAACAAACAAAACUGAAAGAACAACUUAUUUUCCAAAGCUACA